UAACGAAUAUUCCGCAAUGGACGAAAGUCUGACGGAGCGACGCCGCGUGCAGGAAGAAGUCCUUCGGGAUGUAAACUGCUGUCAGGGGUGAGGAACACAAUGACCAGCCCCGGAGGAAGUACCGGCUAACUCCGUGCCAGCAGCCGCGGUAAUACGGAGGGUACAAGCGUUGUUCGGAAUCACUGGGCUUAAAGGGCGUGUAGGCGGGAUGCAGGGUGUUGGGUGAAAUCCUCGGGCUCACCCGAGAACUGCCCAGCAAACCGGCAUUCUUGAGGCAGGUAGAGGUGACUGGAACGAUGGGUGGAGCGGUGAAAUGCGUAGAUAUCCAUUGGAACGCCGGUGGCGAAAGCGGGUCACUGGGCCUGUCCUGACGCUGAUACGCGAAAGCGUGGGUAGCAACAGGAUAGAUACCCUGGUAGUCCACGCCGUAACGAUGCGCACUGGGUAUGAGGGAC
rnacentral:rRNA from 1 species